rnacentral:rRNA from 1 species
GACGUAGGGCGCGAGCGUUGUCCGGAUUUAUUGGGCGUAAAGGGCGUGUAGGGGGUAUCGUAAGUCUGGCGUGAAAUUUCUCGGCUUAACCGAGGCAGGUCGUCGGAUACUGCGAGGCUAGAGGACGGUAGAGGCGUGUGGAAUUCCGGGUGUAGCGGUGAAAUGCGUAGAUAUCUGGAGGAACACCGGUGGCGAAGGCGGCAUCCUGGACCAACACUGACGCUGAGGAGCGAAAGCCAGGGGAGCAAACGGG